UGGACAGAUUACUGUAUUCGAUUGUAUUCACGGCGUGAAACAGGGGAUUACAUUGUUUUUAAACGGAAAAUGUAUCAAUUAACAUAAUAGACUCCU
rnacentral:pre_miRNA from 1 species